rnacentral:lncRNA from 1 species
UUUCUAUUGGUCCAGCGUGUGUCCAUAAAAGGGAGGGGGCAGAACCGAGAGUGUACCUGGCGGUCUGAUUGGCGGGCUUACCAUGGCUGAAGACGGCAGUGAACACGGAUUGGUCAGCUGAGGCGUCACUCACGCCCGUAGCGGGGCGCUGAGGCGUGCGGCCCUCAGCGGCGGUGGCUGCCUGUGGUUGCUUCCCGCCGCUGUCUCGCUGCUGUGCCGCCGCCUUCACCUCGCCCGCGGGACGAGGUCCUGCUGAAGGAGGUUGUGCCCGUGGGAGCCGCAGACGGCUCUUCUGACCCGCUCCGUUCGGAGGGAAAAAUGAGCCACAGAGGAGCAGUGGGGGUGUCUUAAUGUCGUGCCAAUGCCUCCGCCUUGGUCACAUGGCCACCCACCCUCAUCCUGCAAAUGUCCCAGAGGGUCAUUACUGCCUGCAGGUCCUUGCCGGAGCUUUCCAGAAAGACUUGAUUCAAAGCCCUAAAUCAAGGCAGUGGAAGAUUCCAACCGUGUGCAGAGUACUUCAGAUCUGUGGUAUGUGUUUGUGCCAACAACCUUAUUACUCAUGCAAGACCUGCCAACCAAGCUGUGAUAAUUUAUGUGAGAAAAAUGUAUAUUAA